GGCAGCCUAGGUGAAUCAUGGUGAAACUUUCAAUACUCCAUAUUCGCGCUCUUUACACCUGUCACUUCCGUCCUGUAAGAGAUCAGUAGAUAGCACUGGAGGAGGGAGAUGAGAGGGAGCGAGAGAGAGCAGCCUCGAAUCUGGCAUAGCAAUCAGCAAAACAGAGUCAUCGCUCAUUCCUUGUUAAUUCUGCAGAAGCAUGGAAAUAUGGUUCAACUUCUGAAUUUCAGUCCAGAUUGCAAAACCGCUUCCUUCGAAAUCUCUCAAAUGCCGCUAGUGGUUCACUAUCCAAAGUCCAUUCAGUAGUAUCUCUCUGUCCAAGGUAAACCUCAUCAGUUGAAUGUCUUGAUAAAAUCUCAAUCAGUGACACACCUAGGAGGGUUUGUAGCUGGGCUGUGAUUGUUUUCAGGUAGGCUACAUCUGGAUUUUUCUCAAGCUCAGCAUACUCAGGGGUCCCUGGUUCAGGCAUGAAUCGACGGCUUAAGGAUGGACGGUUAGGGAGGUAGCCAGCAUAAGGGUAUUGCCCAAAAUUGACAGCUGCAUGGAGGGCUGAAGCUAUCCAUAUGAUAAUGGUGCAUGUUUGUGUGACAUCAACUAGCGUCUGCAUCUCAGGCCACCACGGUUCAUCUUUCUUGUCACCAUGGCCUACAUUACAGAUCUCUGUCCACCAUGACUGGAGUUCACUAUCUCCUUGGAUCAAAUCAUCUGUGGGGUAGUAGAAAGCACAAUAUUCCUUAACCCACGUUUCAAUUGCUGACCAGAUUUCUAGCCCAUCAACAGCAUAGGGAUAAUCUUCUAUCAGAAGUCUGAGGCCAUGUGGCUGGCUUGAAUCUGGAACCGCCACUCCUCUGGAUGAUUUUGAAAGUUGGAUCAAUUUUAUUUUUGCUUUAGAUAAAAAGUGAAGAUAAGAGUGUAUUUUUAGGUUCCGAGCUUUACCUCUUGAGGAGAUCUGUGGGGAGUGCCUGCUCAGUGAAAACCCAGUUCUUGUAAACAAAAGAGGACAUUUCCAUGGCAUAUUUGGCUGGGAAAACAGUUAUCUCCAGUAUUCCACCAGCAUUGAUGAGGAUCUGCCUAGCCAAGGCAUUUAUAUUCAUUGUAUCACGAAAAUGAGGAUGUAAAAGCUUAUAGAUUGGGUGAAGGACACUCAAUUGUCUGUUUGUGGCUAUCACAAAUGGCUCUAUUACAGCAUGAGUGUUCAGCCUGUAAAUAUGAGCAGAAUCGUUCAGGUGUACAUUCUAUAGUAGAACAAAGUUUUACUUUAUGCCA